rnacentral:rRNA from 1 species
AAAUCCGCUUUGAUAAUGCUGGGAUGUGAUGGGGAGCGAAAUUUAGUAGCGAAGUAGCUGAUUUCACACUGUCAAGAAAAGUCUCUAUCGAGGUUAAAGGUACCCGUACCGCAAACCGACACAGGUGGGUGAGGAGAGUAUCCUAAGGCCAGCGAGAGAACUGUUGUUAAGGAACUCGGCAAAAUGACCCCGUAACUUAGGGAUAAGGGGUGCCACCAUCAGGUGGCCGCAGAGAAUAGGCCCAAGCGACUGUUUACCAAAAACAUAGGUUUCUGCUAAGUCGCAAGACGAUGUAUAGGAGCUGACGCCUGCCCGGUGCUGGAAGGUUAAGGGGAUCUGUUAGAGCAAUCGAAGCAGUGAACUUAAGCCCCAGUAAACGGCGGCCGUAACUAUAACGGUCCUAAGGUAGCGAAAUUCCUUGUCGGGUAAGUUCCGACCCGCACGAAAGGCGUAACGAUUUGGGCACUGUCUCAACAACAGACUCGGUGAAAUUGUAAUUCCGGUGAAGAUGCCGGAUACCUGCGACAGGACGGAAAGACCCCAUGGAGCUUUACUGUAGCUUGACAUUGGGUCUUGGUACUACAUGUACAGGAUAGGUGGGAGGCUUUGAAACCAGGACGCCAGUUUUGGCGGAGCCAUCCUUGGGAUACC